GGAAGGCUCCAUUUUGAGAAGCCUAUUCUGCCUUCUAGACUGAAGGAGAAACAUCAUAGAUGUGCUUGUGUGGCCAAGCCAGGCCAACUCUGAAAAGGCCAUCGAACAACUGGAGUUGCUUCUGGAGUGAGAGAAUUGGCCGUCUGCAAGGACAUUGCCCAGGGGACGCCCGGAUGUUUUGAUGUUUUUACCAUCCUUGUGGGAGGCUUCUCUCAUGUCCCCGCAUGGAGCUGGAGCUGAUAGAGGGAGCUCAUCCACACUCUCCCCAGGUGGGAUUCGAACCUGGAAGCUUUCAGAAAGCAUUUUGUGCUUAAAAAAAGAGAGAGAUUGGAAAUGUUGGGAAUCGUAUAGUUACAAAGAGAUAGAACAAGGAGGUAUUUCAAAAAUUGAUUAAAACAUCCAUAUUUCAGUCUACUUCCAUUAUACAAAGGAAAGUGAUCUGAAGAGGCAAGAGAGAAGAAAUAUGAGGAAACUGAUUAUUAUCAUUUAAACUGGAAGGAAAUAAAUGACAACUGUAAGAUAUUAUUGGGACAUCGUUUCAACUGGAAUGAACAUGGUCAGGCCAGUAUUGAAUAUAUUUUCAAUCACAGUGUUCAACUGGACAGGCAGGCUAUCAAUAACUCCAAAUUUUCAAAAUGGUACAGAUUGUAUACGAAAGGGCUAUUAUCUGAUCAAUAUUGGCCAUUUGGUUUCAAAGUAUGCCUACAGCUGUGAUUGAUGGCAGAUACUUAGACAGAUCUUUGGCUCUUUGUCUGUGUGUCUGUGGGGCCCCUGAAAUUGAGAAUUUGCCUCAUUACUUGUUUUCCUGCUCUUUGUAUACUGUGGUUAUUUACAAGGUUCUCUUUUUGCCUUGGCAGCACUGAAAAUCCGGGCAAGAUUAAUUGCUGAUAUUGCAGUUGACUGUGCUGGGGAUGCUUUUAUCUAAUUAUUGUGUGUUUGCUUAUAUUCAAAGUUCUCUUGUUUAAGUCUUCAAUAAUAUUGAUUUUUACAUGGCUUCUAACUAUGCAAGAGCUAGUUUAUGUAAUAUUUUUAAUGUUGCAUUGUUUGAUGUUUUGUAAUUUUAUAGUUGGGUUUAUGUGUACUUACUUGUUGGUUCUGUAUGUGAAAGACCUAUGGUCUAAGCAUUGAAUAAAAUUGAAAAAUAAAAAAGAGAAGAGUUCUGACAUUGUCCUAGAAAAACAGAAGAAGUGAUAAGAAGUAAGGAAUUCCUGAAGCAUCAUUAAAGAAGCAAAAGUCCAAUUGAGCGAUAGAUUGGGAAAGACAUCAUCCAAUAAGUAGCAAGUAAGGGUGCUUUGGAAAAAGCUUGGAAUCUUCUUGAAUCUUCUUGACAAUUUAUAGUAGACUGUCAAGAGUUUCUAACUCCCAUUUCUUUUUAAGCAUUAGCAGUAAUAUAUUACACUGGCCAACACAAAUUUUGGUGCCUCAAAUAUUAGUCUCAUUUCUAAAAAAUGGCAAUAGUUUUCCUCUAUCAGCUGUAGGUUUUGAGAUACAGAACAUAUGUCAUUUGCUCACCCAUGGAAAACUGUAAUAACUAUAUCUAAGAAACUAGUGCCGAUGUGGUCUAUCCAAUGCAAUUUUCUGAAUCAGCAUCCCAAAUAAUUUCAGAAACAGCCCUAAAAACCAGGGCUGUGUUAUCCUAGCUAGAAUGAAAAUUGUUCAUGUGACAAAACGUAAGCAUUUGCGUGAAGGGAUUCUGCGCUCAGUUAUGGUUCUGAAAAAAGUAAACACUUCAUGCCAUUAUUCUAAGGGAACAUUAUUUCAAACCAGUUUUCAUUUUUAGUGAUGGGGAAUCUAUGAAAAGAAAAGAAAAGAAAAGAAAAGAAAAGA